UACGUAGGGUGCAAGCGUUGUCCGGAAUUAUUGGGCGUAAAGAGCUCGUAGGCGGGCUGCCGCGUCCGGGGUGAAAUCCCACGGCUCAACCGGUGGAACGGCCCCCGGGUACGGGCGGCCUCGAGGGGGGUAGGGGCGUGCGGAACUGUGGGUGGAGGCGGUGAAAUGCGUUGAGAUCCAACAGGAGCGUCCGGUGGCGAAGGCGGCACGCUGGACCCCUUCUGACGGCUG
rnacentral:rRNA from 1 species